rnacentral:rRNA from 1 species
AUGAAGUCGGAAUUGCUAGUAAUCGCGGAUCAGCAUGCCGCGGUGAAUACGUUCCCGGGCCUUGUACACGACCGCCCGUCACACCAUGGGAGCCGGUAAUACCCGAAGUCAGUAGUCCAACCUCGUGAGGACGCUGCCGAAGGUAGGAUUGGCGACUGGGGUGAAGUCGUAACAAGGUACC